UACGGAGGAUGCAAGCGUUAUCCGGAUUUAUUGGGUUUAAAGGGUGCGCAGGUUGUUUGAUAAGUCAGUGGUGAAAGUCUGUCGCUUAACGGUAGGAUUGCCAUUGAUACUGUUAGACUUGAAUAUGGAUGAGGUAGUCGGAAUGUGUAGUGUAGCGGUGAAAUGCAUAGAUAUCACGAGGAACUCCGAUUGCGCAGGCAGCUUACUAAACCAUAACUGACGCUCAGGCACGAAGGCGUGGGGAUCAAACAGGA
rnacentral:rRNA from 1 species